rnacentral:rRNA from 1 species
CCCUGCCCUAUGAUUAAUUAAAUGGCUGCAGUAUUCUGACUGUGCAAAGGUAGCAUAAUAAUUAGUUUUUUAAUUGAGGACUUGAAUGAAUGGGAAUAUGAGAAGUAUAUUUUAUUAAUUUUAUUUUUAAAAUUUAAUUUUUAAGUAAAAAAGCUUAAUUUAUUUUUCGGGACGAGAAGACCCUAUAGAACUAGAAUUUUUUUUAUUUAACUAAUUAUUUUAGGUAUUUUAUAUAAUUUUAUAAUAAAUUUUUUACUGGGGUGGUAAAUAAAUCAAACUUUAUUUUUUUUGUUCAUCUAUAAAUGUUUUAUUGAUCCAUAAUUUUGAUUGUAAGAUUAAGUUACCUUAGGGAUAACAGCGUAAUUUUAAUGGAAAGUUCAUAUUUAUAUUAUAGUUUGCGACCUCGAUGUUGAAUUAAGAUAAGAAGAGGGGGUAG